rnacentral:rRNA from 1 species
UACGUAGGGUGCGAGCGUUAAUCGGAAUUACUGGGCGUAAAGCGUGCGCAGGCGGUUUUGUAAGCCAGAUGUGAAAUCCCCGGGCUCCAACCUGGGAAUGGCGAUGGAUACGUGGCUCGCUAGAGUGCGGUAGAGGAGAGUGGAAUUCCCGGUGUAGCAGUGAAAUGCGUAGAGAUCGGGAGGAACAUCAGUGCGAGGCGGCUCUCUGGACCGCACUGACACUGAGGCACGAAAGCUAGGGGAGCGAACAGG